ensembl:lncRNA
GUUUACAGAAAAUGGGAAUUUGCAUGAUGAAAAUAACUCCGACCGGAGUGCGAAUUUUUACUGCUCUUGGCACGGGGCUCGGAAAAAGCGGCUGCAUAGCCAAUUACUGGAAUUUUUAAACACAAAUAAUAUUUUAUGGGAUCAGUGGGUUGGCUCAGGUCCGCCGCACCCGGCUCAGCUCCUCCGCCUAUAAACAAGCUCGGAUUGUGCAGCGAGUCAGCAUGCCAAGCCUCGGGCCAGCCUGGGGGGCACCAUGGACCUGCGGGCUUGGGAAGUGGGGCUGGAAGGGGACUGGGUCCCGGUGUGGGCAGGUGCAGCGCGGGGCUCGAACCUCCCCGCCGACAGGGGGCGCCCGCGAGGCUCGGUCCGGGCUUAGUACUCCCGGCUCACCUGCAGCUCCUAACUGGGAAGUGUGCUCUGCGAUGGCUUGUGCCCUGCGCAGCGUUGCCCCGCCUGGAAUGGCCCGGGACGUCACAACGCCUCCGGAGGCCCGGCAUCCCGGAACAUUCGGAUUUGUUCGGCAGCCUUCUGUUUCCCACCGGGGUCCCGAAGCAGGGCCAAAGACGCAGCCAGGAGCACCGGAAGCUCUCUUGGGGUCCGUUUUGCUUCUGUUCUUGGAGAUCUCCAAGACUGGCCAAGGGCCCGAGGGAGGUGUCCCCAGCCGGAUUCUUAGUUUCCGUAGCGGGUUAGCUCGCCCCCGCCAACCGAGCGCCCAGCACGCACAGGGUUAAGCAGGAGCAGGUGUGUAGCCAGAUGCCACGGCCCGGUCGGCGUCCUCCUCCUCCGCCCACCCGCUCUGAACCCAACAGUCCCAAAUAAAAGUGCUAUUGUUGCCGGGCCUUCCCCCUCCCCCGCCUCUGCCCCGCCACCUGGAGCAGAGCCCGCUCUCUCUUCACCUGCCCCGGGGCCGGCCGGGAGCGGGGACUUCCGCUCUCCCUGCCCCUCCUCCUCCAAGGCCCCUGUCACUGACCCCGGCGUCCCUGGCGCAGGGCAGACACCGUGGCUUUGUGUUGGGGCUCCUUUCGGACCUGACAGAUCCACUCCGGCCCUUCCCUCCCUCCAGGCUCCCUCUCAAAGGCUAGAGAGGCCCGGAGCUUUGCAAAGCUGGGAGGACGCGAGGCCUGGUGCCAGGAGUCCAGGACAGUGCCGCGUUGGUCAAGACCAGCUGUUGCUUUUUCUUUAGUCGUUUGUCCAACUAUAAGGCUGCAAGGCAGGGCAAGAGCGACUCCUUCUUUUACAGAAAAGGCAACUGAGGAACUUCGGAGAGGAGGAGCUCAAACACAGGGCUGGUAAAUGUGAAACUGAAGUCCCCCAGCUCCUCUGGCACCACGAGGUCCCCAGUCACUGGGAGACUGACACGGCUCCCGGGUUAACUGUGGGGCCUUGGACGGGUUACCCCGCUCCUUGAUUUCUUCUGAGACCGAGGAGGGUGGGCCUCCUCGGCUCCCCAGUUCUCACAUUGCCACUUGGACUGGUUUCCAGCCAGAAAAUCUGGGAGACCCAGCCUGGGUUCGGCCACCGCGGCCUGUCCCGACCAGGAAGAAGAUUCUUCCUGGUCCUUCCUAGCCAGCUAGCUCCAGGAGGCUGAUCCAGCGGGGUAAAUGGCUCUAGGAACCGAGUCAAGACCCUCGCCACAAGCAGCCACAGCUUCACCGCCCGCGAGGAAGGCACGCGGAGCCCCACUUAGGACAAGUUCCCACGGAGAACGCCCGCGGCAGGCGCAGGCCUGGUCUGUGAGCUCCAGCAGCUCCCGCGAAGUGCAAGCCGAGCGCCGAGUUACCGUAUUUCCUCUUUUGCGCCCCGACUUUCGAGCUCGUAAAUCCCACUUGUCCAUUGGCAGCAUGAAGACCUGGGGGUCUGUUGCCAUCUGGCUGGGUUGGCAUCACUAGAAGGUUGGAAAUCUUGGAGGAGUCACCACUCAGCCUGCCCGGGACUCAGUUUCCCUCUCUAAAACAGGAGUCGCGAGCAGAGGACAACAGCUCAUGCGUGUACUCCCAGCACUUGGCAGCUGAGGCAAGAAAACUGCCACAAAUCUGAGAUUGAGCUAUAUAAUGAGUUCAGGAUAGCCUGGGCUACAAGUGUGAGAGCCUGUCUUAAGAAACAACCAAACUGGACCUGAUUGUGGGUGGCUCCCUCUUAUGAUCCUAGCACUUGAAAGGCUGAGGCAGGGGUGGAAGGCGAUUAUCAUGUAUUUUAGGUCCCUUAGACAGCAU